GAUGAACGCUGGCGGCGUGCCUAAUACAUGCAAGUCGAGCGAACAGACGAGGAGCUUGCUCCUUUGAUGUUAGCGGCGGACGGGUGAGUAACACGUAGGUAACCUACCUAUAAGACUGGGAUAACUUCGGGAAACCGGAGCUAAUACCGGAUAAUAUUUCGAACCGCAUGGUUCGAUAGUGAAAGAUGGCUUUGCUAUCACUUAUAGAUGGACCUGCGCCGUAUUAGCUAGUUGGUAAGGUAACGGCUUACCAAGGCAACGAUACGUAGCCGACCUGAGAGGGAGAUCGGCCACACUGGAACUGAGACACGGUCCAGACUCCUACGGGAGGCAGCAGUAGGGAAUCUUCCGCAAUGGGCGAAAGCCUGACGGAGCAACGCCGCGUGAGUGAUGAAGGUCUUCGGAUCGUAAAACUCUGUUAUUAGGGAAGAACAAACGUGUAAGUAACUGUGCACGUCUUGACGGUACCUAAUCAGAAAGCCACGGCUAACUACGUG
rnacentral:rRNA from 1 species